ensembl:misc_RNA Metazoa_SRP Metazoan signal recognition particle RNA
GCCGGGCGUGGUGGUGCACGCCUGUAAUCCCAGCUACUCGGGAGGCUGAGGCAGGAGAAUCACUUGAACCCAGGAGGCAGAGAUUGUAGUGAACUGAGAUUGUGCCACUGCACUUCAGCCUGGGUGACAGAGUGAGACCCUGUCUCCA